UAGUAACGGCGAGUGAAGCGGCAACAGCUCAAAUUUGAAAUCUGGCCUUCGGGUCCGAGUUGUAAUUUGUAGAGGAUGCUUUUGGCGCGGUGCCUUCCGAGUUCCCUGGAACGGGACGCCUUAGAGGGUGAGAGCCCCGUACGGUUGGACACCAAGCCUCUGUAAAGCUCCUUCGACGAGUCGAGUAGUUUGGGAAUGCUGCUCUAAAUGGGAGGUAAAUUUCUUCUAAAGCUAAAUACCGGCCAGAGACCGAUAGCGCACAAGUAGAGUGAUCGAAAGAUGAAAAGCACUUUGAAAAGAGGGUUAAAUAGCACGUGAAAUUGUUGAAAGGGAAGCGUUUACGGCCAGACCUUUUCCUGGCGGAUCAUCUGGUGUUCUCACCAGUGCACUCCGCCAGGUUUAGGCCAGCAUCGGCUCCCGUAGGGGGAUAAAAGCAGUGGGAAAGUAGCUCCCUCGGGAGUGUUAUAGCCCGCUGCACAAUACCCUUACAGGGGCCGAGGACCGCGCUUUUGCAAGGAUGCUGGCGUAAUGGUCGUCAACGACCCGUCUUGAAACACGGACCAAGGAGUCGAACAUUUGUGCGAGUGUUUGGGUGUCAAACCCUCACGCGUAAUGAAAGUGAACGGAGGUGAGAGCCCUCUAGGGGGUGCAUCAUCGACCGAUCCUGAUGUCUUCGGAUGGAUUUGAGUAAGAGCAUAACUGUUCGGACCCGAAAGAUGGUGAACUAUGCGUGGAUAGGGUGAAAACCCAAAAAAAAACUCUGGUGAAGGCUCGCAACGGUUCUGACGUGCAAAUCGAUCGUCAAAUCUGCCCAUGGGGGCGAAAGACUUAUCGAACCAUCUAGUACCUGGUACGCCA
rnacentral:rRNA from 1 species